rnacentral:sRNA from 1 species
UCAUUACCAACCAACUCUGGAAGUCUGUAAGAGGAAAAAACCAUUUUAUUCUACUUAUUUUUCCUAACUUUGAUAUUAUGUGUGUGUAAUGUUAAGGAUGGAGAAAUGAAUUAGAAAGCUUUUACUUAAAGUGACAGAAAAUUAUUGCUCUUAAUAUCAAAUACUAGUGUAUUAAAUAUUUCUUCUUCAAGUUACUGGAGAAUAUUUGAAGAACUACUUUGAAAUAUGGAAAACUGAUACUAAUUCCCCUUGAAGUUUACUUUGGAAUUAUUUAACAAUAUUUAGUGUGAAAAGGAGAUAGUUUUCAGGGAUGCUUAAUACAUUUACCCUUUACUUUAAAGAUGAUUUCAAGCUUUUUAGAUCAGCAAGCCAUCCUGUUUGUGGACACUGCUGAUCGCCUGGCCUCGUUAGCUAGAGAUGCUCUGGUCCAUGCACGCCUGCCUAGUUUUGCCAUCCCAUAUGCCAUUGAUGUACUAACUACUGGAUCUUACCCACGGCUGCCAACCUGCAUUAGGGAUAAAAUUAUUCCUCCAGACCCAAUUACC